GACCGCGUAGCUCAGUUGGCAGAGCAUUGGGCUACUCACAGCUAGUAUUCCAAAGGUCGUAGGUUCGAUUCCCACCGUGGCCA